GGCCUGGAGACCAGAGAAACAACAAGAACAGAACGCUGAGGCAGACAGGCAGAAUCUAAUCCGACCCACAGGCACGUGCGCCCACACACGCACCCACAGACACACUUACCCAAUCCCCCACACCACCCAAACACUCCACGGGUCCUGCACCUUGGAAAUGGGCGACCUCAACAUCAACAUCUCACCGUUCGAGAUCUCUUUCCAGAACGUUCCGCACUCCUACGUCCCAGGCACAGCCAUUGAGUGUCACUACACCUUGGGCUGUUCGGUCAAGUGGUCACCCAAGGAUUGGAUCGGUCUCUACAAGAUCAGCAGGAGAUCACUGCGUGACUAUUACACAUAUGUCUGGUCCCCACUUCCACACAGCCAGGAUGGGUCACCUCGCAACUGCUGUGUUCGGUUUG